AUUGAACGCUAGCGGGAUGCCUCACACAUGCAAGUCGAACGAGUGGCGGCGGGGUGGGUAAUAUAUCGGAACGUGCCCAGUAGCGGGGGGUAACUACCCGAAAGAGUGGCUAAUACCGCAUAAUAUUGGAGCGGCCGAUAUUGGAUUAGAGAGUUGGUGGGGUAAGGGCUCACCAAGGCAACCAUCCGUAGCUGGUUUGAGAGGCCGACCAGCCACACGUGGACUGAGACACGGCCAAAGCUCCUACGGGAGGCAGCAUUGGGGAAUUUUGGACAAUGGGGAAAAGCCUGAUCCAGCCAUCCCGCGUGUAUGAGAAGGCCUUCGGGUUGUAAAGUACUUUUGGCAGAGAAGCGGUAUCUGCAGAAUAAGCACCGGCUAACUACGUGCCAGCCGCCGCGGUAAUUC
rnacentral:rRNA from 1 species